ACUUUUUUCCUCCUUCCUGCCUAAUAGUUGUUUCCUCUCUCCGAAUCUGUAUCUCUCUCUUAACAUUUUCUCGCUUUUAGGGUUUCGAAUUUUGCUCCUACCAAUUUCAACUCAUCACAGGAUCGAGAUUGCUGAGGGAGAAAAUGUAGCUCCGGCUGUCAGAUUUCAAUUGAAUUCUAGGUCACCCUCAAUGGCGGCAUAAUUGUUCUGUGCUUCAGCGACUGCUGCGGAAUAUGACUGUUGAAUCUUCGAGAUAUAAGAAAGGGCUAAAUUCAGCUGGAAGUUCUUGUACUAACUCUAGAAUUAAGAGAGUAGUUCUUGUUGACACUUUAGAUUGUUUAUGGAGGAAUCAUCUUGUAAACAUGAAUAGGCUCAGUUCAAAUUUCAGUGGUAAGCUACUUUCCUAUUGGUUUGAUAUUUUUGUUGGUUUCCUUAGACAAUAUUCUUAUUAGUGGGUUUCUUGCAGGUGAAUUUGCGGAGUUUUGUGCACAGAAAUCCACUUGAAGAGUACAAAAUUUAUGGUUGUGGAUUGUUCAUUUUGAUGCUUAGUGCUACAAGAAGGUUAACUGUAGACUGACUGGAGUCAUUCUUUGUUGAAGCUGAGAUGGCACUGCUUAUUUGUAUUUGUGAUAUUGUAAUUUUGAUGAACAUUAGUGUAUCCUACUAGACUCGAUUAGUAUGUUAACUAAUGGAAAGUUUCAUUCAUUAA